CCCGGCCCCGGCCCGGCCCGCCGGCUGCGGGGUGGCGGCCGCCGCCGCUUCAGCGCUCCAUGGCCGCGCCGGGGCCCCUCACGGCGAAGCGGGGCCGGCGGGGAAGGAGGGAGCGCAGCGGGGCCGAGCGGAGCGGGGCCGGGCCGCACUCGUGACGGCGCCGCGCUCCGCCAGGAUCUGAGGUCAGGGGGGAGGAGGAGGGCCCGGCCCGCCCCGCAGCCGGCGCCCGCCUCCCGGAGCCCAGCGGUGCCGCCCCCGCCCCCAAAUGGCGGCCCCGAGGAGAACGGGGCGGGGGGCGAGGGGAUGAGGGGGGAGCAAGGGGCUGGUGCUGGGUCCCUGGCGGCCCUGCAUGAAGGGAGCGGACACGAGGGGAACGGUCGGGUAGUUGCUCCCCCCAAGCCCACCAGCAGCAGGAGAAACAGAAUCAGUGCACCGUGCAAGCCCCCAAAAGGAUCAGAGCUUGUGACUGCAGAUUCUCAGCACACAGGGAAGGAAGCGAGGGCUCUCCUGCUGAAUGGUCACGACCAGAACAAGUGUGUCUGCUGAUCUUGCAAUGCCAUUGCCUGUUCUCCAGAUGCAUGAGAUUUAAUGGUCAGAAACCUCAGUGCUCCUCUCAAGGCAAGUGCAUCUGUUUUUCAAGAUAAGGAAUUACUGGUCCAUGAAACAAAUGUUGCUACAGGUUUUGGAGGAGGAAAAUCCUCUUCUCCCCCUUUCCAAAACAAAGUGGGACAGCUUAGUGCUGCACAUGACACCUCUUUGCAUCAGUUCCUAUACCUCUUCUAUUAAAUGAUGCUAAGGGAAUGGAAUCAUUAAAAAGUAAUUUCUAAUUAAAAUUGACACAAGGAGCUUCAUAGGGAUAGAAAUACCAAAUUUUUGAUGUCCCAAGAGAUUAGUUUUUAGCUCCUGAAAAAAAAAUAUCUUCAAAUCUGUUUGAAAAUGAAAUCUGUACAUAAGAGACACAAGGAUUCCCUGUUCAUUUUUCCAGCAAAUAGUAUUGUGGCCAAGUGCUACAUUUUAUAUUAUAUAUUAAUAUAAUAUUAUAUAUUGUAUAUCAUACCCUACAUUUUAUAUUAUACCCUUCUACUUCCAAUCAAUGCCUGAAGAAAUCGACAACCUAUUUCUGUAGAAGGGGAACAUUUGAAUUUCUCAUGCCUGCUCUCAGCCUCUGCCAACUGCAACCAUUUUAACCAUCGAUUUCUACUCAUUAUAGUUCAAAUGGCAACAUUUAUGUUAAGGAAAUCCUAUUGACUUCAGAGAAAAUGGCCUGAGAAUGAUUUCAGUGCAGGGAUGGUGAUUUCAGAAAUACAGACAGACCAAUCAAGCAACAUUAUGAUAAAGUGUUUAUUCAUUUUUUUAAAUAUCAAAUUUUUACACAUCAAUUUUGUUGAUAAACAGUCCCCCAAUAUUAAAAAACAAAAAUCAAAAAAGAAUCAAGUGUGUAUUACUUUGGGCAGAACCACAUCCCAUUUUCUGAUGAUACAACCACACUUCCCUUCAGUCUGCAAGGACAACUGCAGUAUGUUCAGCCCAGAAGAGUAAAUGACACAAAUGCAACCAGCUUUAGGAUUCCUGAGUAUUGAUUCCCUCAAGUUCCUUAAGUGAGUUUGUAAAACUCUUAAGCUAAAAAGCAUCAGUCAAAGAGAAACCCAAACCGCUACACAUUUGGAUCACAGACUAAGCUACGUCUACACAGUGCAGGAAGAAAUCUCUUGAACGCUUCAUAAGGGAAUGAUAUACACAAAACCAACCCAAUUUCCCAAGCUGACCUCCGAGAGAGGCAGGCAAAAAGCCUCUUGGUUUCUCCUCUUUGAAUUCACAUUAGAGUUCUGGGGAGCUGUGUGGCAAGAAGUCCAAGUCUGGUGAAGAAACCUCUAGGAUAUGUUCCUCCUUUUACUGAUAAAUGCUAUAGUGUUUUAAGGAAAACUUACCAUCUGGAAGUUAAGCAUCCAACAAGUACACUUAAAUAUUGCUACUUUGGAGGAAAGGAGACAGCAGGAAAGAGGGAGAGACAAGGACAGAAAGAAAGGAACAUAUCUAGGAGGUACAAGGUUAACAGUCCUUGAGACCAAGUGUCUACAUAGAAAGUUAAACAUAAUUAGCAACAAGGCAGAGAUUGUCACAGUAAUACAGCACAGUGCAGCUCUGCUCAGCGGCCCGUAAACAUGUCUGUCACCAGGAAAUAUUUCCUCCUCGUGUCAGAUAGAUCUGUGCCCAGAGACUUUCAGAUGUUAUUUCACUGAACAUCACUAAACUUACCUAGAGCCUCAUUUACAGAAAUAGGCAUUCAGCAAGAAGCCCAAUAAAUUCCUUCAGUAUCUUUAAGGAAAGGAAUAC
rnacentral:lncRNA from 1 species